rnacentral:rRNA from 1 species
ACAACUCUAGAGAUAGAGCCUUCCCCUUCGGGGGACAAAGUGACAGGUGGUGCAUGGUUGUCGUCAGCUCGUGUCGUGAGAUGUUGGGUUAAGUCCCGCAACGAGCGCAACCCUUAAGCUUAGUUGCCAGCAUUAAGUUGGGCACUCUAAGUUGACUGCCGGUGACAAACCGGAGGAAGGUGGGGAUGACGUCAAAUCAUCAUGCCCCUUAUGAUUUGGGCUACACACGUGCUACAAUGGACAAUACAAAGGGCAGCUAAACCGCGAGGUCAUGCAAAUCCCAUAAAGUUGUUCUCAGUUCGGAUUGUAGUCUGCAACUCGACUACAUGAAGCUGGAAUCGCUAGUAAUCGUAGAUCAGCAUGCUACGGUGAAUACGUUCCCGGGUCUUGUACACACCGCCCGUCACACCACGAGAGUUUGUAACACCCGAAGCCGGUGGAGUAACCAUUUAUGGAGCUAGCCGUCGAAGGUGGGACAAAUGAUUGGGGUGAAGUCGUAACAAGGUAGCCGUAUCGGAAGGUG